rnacentral:tRNA from 1 species
GUCUUUGUAGUAUAAAUAAUACACUGGUCUUGUAAACCAAAGAAGGAGAACAACCAACCUCCCCAAGACU